rnacentral:rRNA from 1 species
AUAACAUCCGGAAACGGGUGCUAAUACCGCAUAGUUUUCUUGAUCGCAUGAUUGAGAAAGGAAAGACGGCCUUUGUGCUGUCGCUUAUGGAUGGACCCGCGGCGUAUUAGUUAGUUGGUGAGGUAACGGCUCACCAAGACGAUGAUACGUAGCCGACCUGAGAGGGUGAUCGGCCACAUUGGGACUGAGACACGGCCCAAACUCCUACGGGAGGCAGCAGUAGGGAAUCUUCCGCAAUGGACGAAAGUCUGACGGAGCAACGCCGCGUGAGUGAAGAAAGGUUUUCGGAUCGUAAAACUCUGUUGUCAGAGAAGAACAAGUUGGAGAGUAACUGCUCCAGCCUUGACGGUAUCUGACCAGAAAGCCACGGCUAACUACGUGCCAGCAGCCGC